rnacentral:misc_RNA from 1 species
AACGCACAUUGCGCCCUCUGGUAUUCCGGAGGGCAUGCCUGUUUGAGCGUCAUUUCUCUCUCAAACCGCAAGGUUUGGUAUUGAGUGAUACUCUUAGUCUGACUGGGCGUUUGCUUGAAAUGUAACGGCAGGAGUGUACUGGAUAGUACGAACUGGUUAUUCAAUGUAUUAGGUUUAUCCAACUCGUUGAAACGCUGGGGUAGUAAAUUUCUAGUAAUUUGGCUCGGCCUUAUAACAACAAACACAAGUUUGACCUCAAAUCAGGUAGGAUUACCCGCUGAACUUAA